rnacentral:misc_RNA from 1 species
UCCGGUUUGGCACCGGCAGUCCCCCCAGAGUCCUCGGCGUGACCCGGUAGCAACUGGGGGCGGGGGUUGCGCUCGUUGCGGGACUUAACCCAACAUCUCACGACACGAGCUGACGACAGCCAUGCAGCACCUGUGCUGGAGUCCCGAAGGAGGGGCCCCGUCUCUGGGGCCUUACUCCAGCAUGUCAAGCCCGGGUAAGGUUCUUCGCGUUGCGUCGAAUUAAACCACAUGCUCCACCGCUUGUGCGGGCCCCCGUCAAUUCCUUUGAGUUUCAGCCUUGCGGCCGUACUCCCCAGGCGGGGCACUUAAUGCGUUAGCGCCGGCACUCGGGGGGUCGCUCCCCCAAGCACCUAGUGCCCAUCGUUUACGGCGUGGACUAC